rnacentral:lncRNA from 1 species
UCUGUGUCCCAAUAAAACUUUAUUUAUGGACCCUGAAAUUGGAGUUUCAUAUAAUGUUCAGGGUCACAAAUAUUCUUUUUUUUUUUUUUUUUUUUUUGGUCUAUCAUACACAAACAUAAAAGCCAUUCUGAGUUCAUGGGCCAGAUUUGGCCCACGGCUGUAGUUCGCUGUCCCCAGAUGUAGGUGGAGGGUGCUGCGAAGGUGGAGGUGGGGUUCAGAAUUUUCCAGACUGAAGGAUGGCUUGGAGGUAGCCGAGAAGAUGAACCUAUAUGGCACCCUGUCAAUCCUAAAAAGGAAUAUGGAUUUACCCUGUCAGUUAGGGAUAGGUUUCCAGUGGGAGAGUCAUUUGUUAAAGAAAUAUUUCAUUGGAGUUCCCAUCGUGGCACAGUGGAAACAAAUCUGAAUAGGAACCAUGAAGAUGCAGGUUCGAUCCCUGGCCUCGCUCAGUGGGUUAAGGAUCCAGCGUUGCCAUGAGCUGUGGUGUAGGUCGCAGAUGAGGCUCGGAUCUGAUGUUGCUGUGGCUCUGGCAUAGGCCGGUGGCUACAGCUCCAAUUAGACCCCUAGCCUGGGAACCUCCAUAUGCCUCAGGUGUAGCCCUCAAAAGAAAAAAGACAAAAAAAAAAAAAAAAAAAAAGUUUUUUUGUGAGUCCCUACGGAAGGGCAUGUACUAAAGUAGCCAGGGGGCUCCUUGAGAUUGAGUAGCCAGGAAAGGUCGUCUAAGGAGGUGGCCUUUGAGCUGAGAUCUGAACUUACAAGACAAGGUUUAUGAGGCGCUAGAACCCUUAAUUUUUACAAUUAACUGCGAGGAGGGAUUAACUGAUAUUCAUUUUACGAGUGAGAAAAUGGAGAUACAGCAAGGUUAAGCAAGUUGCCCAAGGUCACAGAGCUCAGAGAUGGCAGGGAGCCAGGAUGUCAACUGCUCUGGUUCAAACCCGGCCUCUGGCCUUUAUUAGCUACGCGACUUUGGCUAGCGACCUCAUCUCAGAGUCCCAAACGCCAGUUACGAGUUCCCUCUUUCUUAUAUCAAGAAGCUUGUGGAGUUCCCAUCGUGGCGCAGUGGUUAACAAAUCCAACUAGGAACCAUGAAGUUCGGUCCCUGCCCUUGUUCGGUGGGUUAAGGAUCCGGCGUUGCCAUGAGCUGCGGUGUAGGUUGAAGAUGCGGCUCGGAUCCCGCGUUGCUGUGGCUCUGGCAUAGGCCGGUGGCUACAGCUCUGAUUCGACCCCUAGCCUGGGAACCUCCUUAUGCCGUGGGAGCGGCCCAAGAAAUAGCAAAAAGACAAAAAAAAAAAAAAAAAAAAAAGAAGCUUGUGCCCUCAGAAAAUGUGUGUUGAGGGCCUACUAUGUGCCAGGCUUGUUCCAGGUGGGAGGAGGGGAGGGAGAGGGGUUUGGGGUUUUAGAUGGGGUGGUCAGGGUAAACCGCACUGACCAAGUGACGUUUGAAUAGAUUCAAAGGAGAAGAGGGAGUUGGCUCUGAGCAUUUUGGAAAAAAGUUUCAGCCAAAGGAAGCAGUCGGUGCCAUCAAGGAACAACUGCGUGGCUGGAGCAGGACAGGGACAUGAAAAGAGGUAGGAGGGAAUGUCACAGAGGUAAAGCGGGGGUGUUGGGGAGGGCUUAAGAAAGCUCACUUGUGGGUGUUUUGUUUUGUUUUGCUUUGUUUAGGGCUGCACAUUUGGCAUAGGGAAGUUCCCAGGCCUUCUGGGGUUUUUCUUUUAGGGAUUUGUUCGGUUUUAUUUUCUUCUAUAUCUGUUUCUGAGUUUAGUUCCUUGGCCCUAAAUACAGCAGUAAUGGCUCAAACCGGGUAUGGGGUGUGACUUCGGCCACUGGGAUUCCUCAUGGCCUUGCCCAGGCUCCUCCCAUCUCCUGUCGCCCCCCCGCCGAGGGCCCCAGAGCAUGGGCCAGCAUAAAGGUGAGCUGUCCCUCAUGGACCUGGUCUUGAGACAAAUAUAUUGACAGCUCCUCCUGACAGUCCAACAGAAACAGAUACUUCUGUGUGCAUCCCACCAAAAAAUCUCUUCUGUCCUUUAGGAAUCUGAAAGUAGCCAGGUCCCAGGUCUGCCAAGAAUCCACAAGUCAAGGAAAACUCUUGGAGCAAAAAGCAUGCUCUGCCACCCGCCCCAACAUGCACCAUGAGGCACCUGUAAAUAAAUCCAUUGUCUUGUCUGAGCUGUGUGAAUUCCUCAGCAGUUAAAAAUGUUGGUUUGUUUCUUCCCGAUCUUUACAGGCUGGUAUAAUUGCAUUAGAUGUAGUUCCUUCAUCCCUUCCCUGUUACCCUGAAAGAAGGAGCUCUUUACCUUUUGACGUCUUCCUUUCUUGCAUCGCUGAGAUCCUCACAGGCCACUGUCCUAAGUUAAUCCCCCCACAGAGAACUGUCAAAAAACCAAGUAGUUGGUCCACUUACUGUUCAUUUAUCCCUUAACACUCCAGGAAUGUGCUCAUGUAACGGAGGUUUUCUGAAAACACAUCUAAGAGACAAAGAUAGCUUUUUUUUCCCCCCCUUAAAAAACUUUAUUUUUCAUGACACAAGUCUUUUCUUUCAACAUUCAGGAAGCAAAGGAAUUGAUUCCUGGGGAGAAAGAUGAGUGUUUGAAAACCAGCGGGAAAAGGUUGCCUUAUACCUUCUUUGUCUUCUAUCUGGGGCUCGAAUGGACCAUUUUUCCUUCGUCUUUCCAUAGAAAAGGCUCUUGUUGCAAAACACCAGAGACCAGCAGGCCCAGAACUGGAUUGUUCAACCCUGAGACGGAAACUCCAGUCUCAACGAAACUCAGCCAAAAUCUUUAUUAACUUAGCCAUGAGCCUCUCCAGCCUCAAGGAUCUCAGGACCUAUAAGAAGUGGAGGUGCAGCUGCAUUCCUCAGCACGAGAGUCAGAGCUACCCGCCACUACGCCUGGUAUGAUGGGACUAGGCUGUCUAGUGGUUAAAGGCAUGGGUGCAGGGUUUCUAGAGCACGUGCCUGGUUUACGAAGCCUGCCUCAAGCUCUUUCUACCUGUGCUAGCUUGGGUAAGUGACUGAAUAGCUCUGUGACUCAGGCUCCUCCUUUAUAAAGUGAGGAUAACAAAAGAAGCUACCUCUUAGGGUGGUUACAAGGAUUAAAUGAGAUAAUACAUGUAAAGCGAUUAAAACAGUGUGAUGCAUUGAAGCAUUAUAUAAGCAUUCAAUAUUUUUCAUUAUUAUCAUUGCACUAAUAUGCGAUAAUAGAUUUUUUUUAAAAACACUCUUUCCAAUGGGCUAUACAAAUUUUGCUCGGGUCUGGGCAAAUCCUUCAUUCUUUCUUAGAUAUUUAUAUGCACAGAGUGGACCCACGUGCAGAGUUGUUAUAAGCCCAUCAGCCUAUACCAAGAUGCUCGCACCCUAAGCGCUGGCUGUGAGUCUGUCCUCUUGCUUCCUGCCACUGAGCUGGCAGCCAGCCUCAGCCCCACAUCAAAGUCAGAGAAGAAAGUGAUGGAAGGCAAGCUGCGCCUUCUCCUUAAGUUGUUGCGGGGGGUGGGGGGGGAGGGCGAGGGUGGGCAGCAGUGGUGGCAGGGAGCAGAGAUGGCUGGGACUUUGGCAGGAGAAAUGAAGUCCCAGGCAAGGAGGGACCAACCAAGCAUGAGCCAGAGUCGUACACUCCUCCUGUCACAUCCGAUCCCCAGCACACACCCUCACAACACUCCAACACACACACAACACUCCCAACACACACCGCCAUGGCACCGCCAGCACUACACAAUACCCCAAGGCGCACAGACAUGGACGAAGCUGUCCUGGUCUCUAUCCCCGUGGCCUCUGCCUUUUCGCUAGGGCAGACCCCCACGGGGAAGCAGGUUUACCUCCAGUCUGUGAUGUAGGACAAGAGCGGAAGGGGACGGGACAGCCCGCACACACUGCAGUGAAUCCGGGCUCGUCUGUGGACGAGCUGUGCCACUUGGCAGGGAAGUUCACCUCUCUGAGCCUCUCUUUCCUCGUCUGCAAAACAAUCACAAUGCCUACAUUGGAAGAGUGUUGUUGGGAUUAACCUAGAUAAGAACUAGAACACACUCAGCACAGGUGCCUGGCACGCGGCCCAUUCCCUGUAAGUGGAAAUGGCGUGGCUGUCAUUCUUCAUGGGGCGUCUAUUGCCGAGACCGGGGCAGGCGAAGGGGAAGGAGAGACAUGGGGAAGGGCUCCAGGUGAACCAUCCAGUGAAGGAAAACGCCCCCCACCCCCCGCACCCCAGAAAGAAAUCUAUGCCUUUGUCUUCUCAGUAAGUUUCCACGACAUCCCCAGAAACUCACAUCUGUCAUGAUCUCUACCCUUGGGUGCUUCAAGGAGAGAGCCAUUAGCAAAUUAUUAAUUAGCAUCAUAUUAUCAACCCCAGACCACGUCUUUGACCAGAAGAAUCCUUGCUUUACUGUCCCAACUGCCUGUCAGCAGGAGACAACGUGGCUCUGUUUCCCACCAGACCCGAUUCCGUUCUCACAGGUGACCAUCCUCCACCACCGACCGCCGGGCGGGGCCCCGAAUCAUCAGCUGAGGACCAUCCCAGGCGGGGACAUGCCCCUGGCUUCUUCGUCCCAUCUUCCUCUCUGACACGGGCUCUUUCCUUUUUCAGGGUUGCAGGUCCCUUUAAGAAUCUGGCAAAAAAGGACCGCCUCUUCCUUGCAAUGUUGUUCUGGGCCCUCUUAACCCCCUGUUCCAGAAGAUGUGAGGCUCCAGCGCCUGCUUCCCAUCUUGGCGACUGACUCCCGGCCAAGCUGACUGGAGUUUGGCUGCUCUGAGGAGCAGAGAGUCCUUCCACCUGGCGGCCUGCUUGGAGCCCGCUUGUUAAAGUGAACGGCCCAGUGUGCGCCACGCAGCUCC